GGACUGCAAACUUCUCUUCCCGUUUCUGUCUUUCCCAGCCGCAUUUUUCGGUGCGUGUAACAAGCCUAUCGGCUCUCGCCCCCGCCUUGUUCCGCUCCACCUCCGAGAUCCCAACCCUAGGGAGAAAAGGAUGGGAUAGAUUCCAGGGGGCAGCAAGGGCAACGGCAGCGGCGACGAAGACCUGUUUCAAGAAGAACCGGAGUUACCCCGGAGG
rnacentral:lncRNA from 1 species